CUGAACCAGCCAAGUAGCGUGAAGGAUGACUGCCCUAUGGGUUGUAAACUUCUUUUAUAUUAGAAUAAAGUGCAGUAUGUAUACUGUUUUGUAUGUAUAAUAUGAAUAAGGAUCGGCUAACUCCGUGCCAGCAACCGCGGUAAUACGGAGGAUCCGAGCGUUAUCCGGAUUUAUUGGGUUUAAAGGGAGCGUAGGUGGACUGGUAAGUCAGUUGUGAAAGUUUGCGG
rnacentral:rRNA from 1 species